UACGAAGGGGGCUAGCGUUGCUCGGAAUCACUGGGCGUAAAGGGUGCGUAGGCGGGUUUUUAAGUCAGAGGUGAAAUCCUGGAGCUCAACUCCAGAACUGCCUUUGAUACUGAGAAUCUUGAGUACGGGAGAGGUGAGUGGAACUGCGAGUGUAGAGGUGAAAUUCGUAGAUAUUCGCAAGAACACCAGUGGCGAAGGCGGCUCACUGGCCCGGUACUGACGCUGAGGAGCGAAAGCCAGGGGAGCAAACGGG
rnacentral:rRNA from 1 species